UGGGGAAUUUUGGACAAUGGGGGCAACCCUGAUCCAGCCAUUCCGCGUGAGUGAAGAAGGCCUUCGGGUUGUAAAGCUCUUUCGCGAGGGAAGAAAACUUAUGAUCGAAUAAAUCAUGAGGUUGACGGUACCUUGAUAAGAAGCACCGGCUAACUACGUGCCAGCAGCCGCGGUAAUACGUAGGGUGCGAGCGUUAAUCGGAAUUACUGGGCGUAAAGCGUGCGCAGGCGGUUUUGUAAGUCGGAUGUGAAAUCCCCGGGCUCAACCUGGGAACUGCGUUCGAAACUGCAAGGCUAGAGUGUGUCAGAGGGGGGUAGAAUUCCACGUGUAGCAGUGAAAUGCGUAGAGAUGUGGAGGAAUACCAAUGGCGAAGGCAGCCCCCUGGGAUAACACUGACGCUCAUGCACGAAAGCGUGGGGAGCAAACAGGAUUAGAUACCCUGGUAGUCCACGCCCUAAACGAUGUCAACUAGUUGUUGGUAGAGUAAAAUCUAUGAGUAACGUAGCUAACGCGUGAAGUUGACCGCCUGGGGAGUACGGUCGCAAGAUUA
rnacentral:rRNA from 1 species